AUACUUACCUAGCAGGGGAGAUAAAAUGGUCACGAAGGUGGUUUUCUCAGGGCGAGGCUUACCCAUUGCAUUCCAGAUGUGCUGACACCUGCGAUUUCCCCAAAUGUGGGAAACUCGGCUGCAUAAUUUGUGGUAGUGAGGGGGAGGGGGUUUAUCUCUUU